rnacentral:piRNA from 1 species
UAGGAGUGGGUCUCUGAGAUUUCUAGAC